CGCUUCCGGGUCAACAUGGCGGCGCCGUGGCUGCUGCUACGCGCUCUCCGCCCGGGGCCAGGGCCCGGGCGGGGGCGACUGCGGGGCUGCUGCUCAGGCAGGAGCCCGGGCUGCUCCGCCGGGGUCGGGUGGAGGUGGCUGUACGUGGUCCACAGGCCUCCAGUGGGUUGUGUCGGGCCUGGAAGCCGAGUCCUGCAGAGUUUCCAGUUGCGACUCCUAACCCCCACCUUUGGCGGGAUCAGCAUGUUGUUGGUGAAACAGCAUCUAGUCCAGAAUCCAGUAGGACUCUGGAAACUUUUAGGAGGCGCGGACUAUUUUAAGACCCCGAGGAGGCAGCAGAAGGCUCCCGGUGGUGAUAAACCGCAGGGGAGGCCCUCGGAAGACGAUGAAGAGGAGCGGCGGCGCCGGGAGCGGGAGGACCAGAUGUACCGGGAGCGGCUGCGUACGCUCUUCGUCAUCGCCGUGGUCAUGAGCCUUCUCAACGCGCUUGGCUCCAGCGGCGGCAACAUCUCCUGGAACGACUUUGUGCACGAGAUGCUGGCCAAGGGCGAGGUGCAGCGGGUGCAGGUGGUGCCGGAGAGCGACGUGGUGGAGGUGUACCUGCACCCCGGAGCCGUGGUGUUCGGCCGGCCUCGGCUGGCCCUGAUGUACCGGAUGCAGGUGGCGAAUAUCGACAGGUUCGAGGAGAAGCUUCGGGCGGCCGAGGACGAGCUCAACAUCGGCGGCCAGGACCGGAUCCCCGUGUCCUACAGGCGGACAGGCUUCUUUGGCAAUGCCCUCUACGCCUUGGGGAUGACCGCCGUGGGCCUGGCCAUCCUGUGGUAUGUCUUCCGUCUGGCCGGAAUGACAGGAAGGGAAGGUGGAUUCAGUGCCUUUAAUCAGCUUAAAAUGGCUCGUUUCACAAUCGUGGACGGCAAGAUGGGGAAGGGGGUCAGCUUCAAGGACGUGGCGGGAAUGCACGAGGCCAAGCUGGAGGUCAAGGAGUUCGUGGAUUAUCUGAAGAGUCCCGAGCGCUUCCUCCAGCUUGGCGCCAAGGUCCCCAAGGGUGCACUGCUGCUCGGCCCCCCAGGCUGCGGGAAGACGCUGCUGGCCAAGGCGGUGGCCACGGAGGCCCAGGUGCCCUUCCUGGCAAUGGCCGGCUCGGAGUUCGUGGAGGUCAUCGGAGGCCUCGGCGCAGCCCGUGUGCGGAGUCUCUUCAGGGAGGCCCGGGCCCGGGCCCCGUGCAUCGUGUACAUCGACGAGAUCGACGCUGUGGGCAAGAAACGCGCCAGCACCAUGUCCGGCUUCUCCAACACGGAGGAGGAGCAGACGCUGAACCAGCUGCUGGUGGAGAUGGACGGAAUGGGCACCACCGACCACGUCAUUGUCCUGGCGUCCACCAACCGAGCUGACAUUCUGGACGCCGCUCUGCUGCGGCCAGGCCGACUGGACCGGCACGUGUUCAUCGACCUCCCUACGCUGCAGGAGAGGAGGGAGAUCUUCGAGCAGCACCUGAAGAGCCUGAAGCUGACGCAGGCCAGCAGCUUCUACUCCCAGCGUCUGGCUGAGCUGACGCCUGGCUUCAGUGGUGCCGACAUCGCCAACAUCUGUAACGAGGCCGCGCUGCACGCCGCGCGGGAGGGGCACCCGGCUGUGCACACGUCCAACCUGGAGUACGCCGUGGAGCGCGUGGUGGCCGGUCCUGCCAAGAAGAGCCAGGUCCUCUCCAGGGAGGAGCAGAAGGUGGUCGCCUUCCACGAGUCGGGCCACGCGCUGGUCGGCUGGCUGCUGGAGCACACGGAGGCCGUGAUGAAGGUGUCCAUCACGCCGCGGACAAACGCAGCCCUGGGCUUCGCGCAGAUGCUCCCGAGAGACCAGCACCUGUUCACCAGGGAGCAGCUGUUUGAGCGGAUGUGUAUGGCCCUGGGCGGCCGGGCAGCCGAGUCCAUCUCCUUCAACAGAGUGACUUCGGUGUUGGGGAUGUUCCCGGGCCAGGGAUCGAACCUGUGCCACAGUGGUGACCGUGCUGGAUCCCUAACCCGCUGAGUCCCUAGGGCACUCCAGGAGCACCUGUUAAAGUGUCAGGCCCAGGUACAGGAAGUGAGGUCCCGGGAAAGAACCGGCUCCUGCUGAUCCCCUGCAGGGGCCCAGGACGACCUGCGCAAGGUCACCCGCAUCGCCUACUCCAUGGUGAAGCAGUUCGGGAUGGCGCCCAGCGUCGGGCCCGUCUCCUUCCCCGAGGCGCAGGAGGGCCUCUCGGGCGUCGGGCGGCGUCCCUUCAGCCAGGGCCUCCAGCAGAUGAUGGACCACGAGGCACGGCUGCUGGUGGCCACGGCCUACAGACACACGGAGAAGGUGCUGCGGGACAACCUGGACAAGCUGCAGGCGCUGGCAGGCGCCCUGCUGGAGAGGGAAGUCAUCAGCUACGAGGACAUUGAGGCCCUCAUCGGCCCCCCGCCCCACGGGCCCAAGAAGAAGAUCGCGCCCCAGAGGUGGGGUGACGCCGACAGGGAGAGGCAGGACACCCUUCGCGGGGAGCAGCCCUGGCCCCAGUAGCUGGACUGCCCCCUGCUGGCCCCGGUCCUCACCCGGGUCCCCUCAGCCGUGCUGGUCUCUGAUGUCUAUUUAUUGAAACUCCCCCCAACCCCCCUGCCCCCCACGAAGAGUAAAUGUCUCUGCAGGGA